GACGGGGGAUGCAAGUGUUAUCCGGAAUCACUGGGCGUAAAGCGUCUGCAGGUGGUUUCCUAAGUCCACUGUUAAACCUUGAGGCUCAACCUCAAAUCUGCAUUGGAAACUAGGAGACUUGAGUAUAGUAGGGGUAGAGGGAAUUUCCAGUGGAGCGGUGAAAUGCGUAGAUAUCUGGAGGAAUACCGGUGGCGAAGGCGGCAUCCUGGACCGGCAUUGACGCUGAGGAGCGAAAGCCAGGGGAGCAAACGGG
rnacentral:rRNA from 1 species